rnacentral:rRNA from 1 species
AGGGCACCACCAGGAGUGGAGCCUGCGGCUUAAUUUGACUCAACACGGGGAAACUCACCCGGCCCGGACACCAUAAGGAUUGACAGAUUGAUAGCUUUUUCAUGAUUUGGUGGAUGGUGGUGCAUGGCCGUUCUUAGUUCGUGGAGCGAUUUGUCUGGUUUAUUCCGAUAACGAGCGAGACUCUAGCCUACUAAAUAGUCUGCACAUUGCUUCUGUGUUGCAGUACUUCUUAGAGGGAUUUUCGGCGUACAGCCGCACGAGAUUGAGCAAUAACAGGUCUGUGAUGCCCUUAGAUGUCCGGGGCUGCACGCGCGCUACACUGGCGAAAUCAGCGUGCUUGUCCUUGCUCGAAAGAGCUUGGUAAACCAAUGAAAAUUUGCCGUGAUUGGGAUCGGAAAUUGCAAUUAUUUUCCGUGAACGAGGAAUUCCAAGUAAAUGCGAGUCAUCAACUCGCGUUGAUUACGUCCCUGCCCUUUGUACACACCGCCCGUCGCUGCCCGGGACUGAGCCAUUUCGAGA